CUCAGGACGAACGCUGGCGGCGUGCGUAAUACAUGCAAGUCGUACGCUUCUUUUUCCACCGGAGCUUGCUCCACCGGAAAAAGARGAGUGGCGAACGGGUGAGUAACACGUGGGUAACCUGCCCAUCAGAAGGGGAUAACACUUGGAAACAGGUGCUAAUACCGUAUAACAAUCGAAACCGCAUGGUUUUGAUUUGAAAGGCGCUUUCGGGUGUCGCUGAUGGAUGGACCCGCGGUGCAUUAGCUAGUUGGUGAGGUAACGGCUCACCAAGGCCACGAUGCAUAGCCGACCUGAGAGGGUGAUCGGCCACAUUGGGACUGAGACACGGCCCAAACUCCUACGGGAGGCAGCAGUAGGGAAUCUUCGGCAAUGGACGAAAGUCUGACCGAGCAACGCCGCGUGAGUGAAGAAGGUUUUCGGAUCGUAAAACUCUGUUGUUAGAGAAGAACAAGGAUGAGAGUAACUGUUCAUCCCUUGACGGUAUCUAACCAGAAAGCCACGGCUAACUACGUGCCAGCAGCCGCGGUAAUACGUAGGUGGCAAGCGUUGUCCGGAUUUAUUGGGCGUAAAGCGAGCGCAGGCGGUUUCUUAAGUCUGAUGUGAAAGCCCCCGGCUCAACCGGGGAGGGUCAUUGGAAACUGGGAGACUUGAGUGCAGAAGAGGAGAGUGGAAUUCCAUGUGUAGCGGUGAAAUGCGUAGAUAUAUGGAGGAACACCAGUGGCGAAGGCGGCUCUCUGGUCUGUAACUGACGCUGAGGCUCGAAAGCGUGGGGAGCAAACAGGAUUAG
rnacentral:rRNA from 1 species